AUUGAACAAGGAUCCUGUUCUUGCUACUAUUAAGUCCACAGUUUAGUCUGGCACAGCAGGAAAUCCUAAAAGCUAAUAGGCUGUCAACACAACUCAAUGUGUUUGGUUGCAUUUGCAGGCAGAUGAGCAGAAGGACGAUACAGAGAAACAUACCUUCUCCUAACUUUAUAAAAAGACUUUAUAAAAAGACUCCAAAGGACUAUAAAAGGACACGAACAUUGUGUUCCUGCUUUUCAUCCAGAGCCUGGCCCCUGGAAUUAUUAUCAGCUUUUUUCAGGCCCUUACAUUACAUUACCAUACAUUUAACCAGAUUUGAAUCACCCAGCUCAUUGACCAGUGUAAUAUUCACGCAAAGAAACUGGCAUGCUAUAUGUCUUUAAGAAGGCAUCUGUGCCUCACACACACAGUCAUGGUAUUUUCUCUAAAAUGAGGAAGCAGUGGUCACGUGAGAAAAGAGGGAAAUACAAGUAUUCAGAAACUUUACUACAAUGUAGAGCCUCUAGAGAGAAGAGCAAGAGGAAAAACCAGCUGACUGUUGCUCGGGAAUCUUUUUUUCUACUACAAGAUAGUCUCUGGGUCAGCGGCCUCUGUGGGCUUAAGAAAAACAGAGAGCACUAAACCACAUCCAUGGUGGAAGGCUGACUGAACAUGAGUGGUUUGGAGGAAGACGAGGACACAGCAGAGUCUCCAGGAUCCAGCCGUCUGUCUAUGAAGGGCGAUCGGUCCAAAAAUCCUCCUCCA